rnacentral:piRNA from 1 species
UGACGUUUGUUCAGUGGCACCAUCAUCA